rnacentral:rRNA from 1 species
GACGAACGCUGGCGGCGUGCUUAACGCAUGCAAGUCGAACGGAAAGGCCCUGCUUUUGUGGGGUGCUCGAGUGGCGAACGGGUGAGUAACACGUGAGUAACCUGCCCUUGACUUUGGGAUAACUUCAGGAAACUGGGGCUAAUACCGGAUAGGAGCUCCUGCUGCAUGGUGGGGGUUGGAAAGUUUCGGCGGUUGGGGAUGGACUCGCGGCUUAUCAGCUUGUUGGUGGGGUAGUGGCUUACCAAGGCUUUGACGGGUAGCCGGCCUGAGAGGGUGACCGGCCACAUUGGGACUGAGAUACGGCCCAGACUCCUACGGGAGGCAGCAGUGAGGAAUAUUGCACAAUGGGCGGAAGCCUGAUGCAGCAACGCCGCGUGCGGGAUGACGGCCUUCGGGUUGUAAACCGCUUUCGCCUGUGACGAAGCGUGAGUGACGGUAAUGGGUAAAGAAGCACCGGCUAACUACGUG